AUGUUAAACUAAAUGUUAUCUAUUGAGUAUUUUUUUGUACGUUGUGUAUUACAGUAAAUUAGACUUGUGGUGAAAUUUAUUUACGGUUUUAGUUUUACAGUUUGAAUUUUUAAAAUAUGCAUGCCUUAAAGAUAUAAUGUGUUUUCAAACCGGUUUGAUUCUGUGGAUAACGUCACGUUUUUAAUAAAAAGAGGAACAGAAAAAUUAAGCCGGAAUUUCAUGGGAUCUUGAGGGGAUCGUGACUUUAAUGGAGUUCACGUCGAAGCGAGUUGCAUGGAAGAACGGUAUCGUUCGCUAUAAAUGUAAUACGGCUUCCCGUGGAAUAUUUCACGAAAGCUUCGUGAGAAUUUCUUCCACUCGACAACCACUCAACGCCCUCCAGGAUGAACUUGACCUUCCACCCGAACAUUCACCUGUGACAAGGACGACGGAAACCGAGGAGAUUCCACUUCCGGUCUUGCUUCACGAACAACGAAAUCAUUUCUUCGUAUUUUCGUGAUCAUAGUAUUGCCAUCGUGAACAAGUUUGUCAAAUAUUUUGGAAGAGGAAUUAAACGUUUAUAAAAUUUCA